rnacentral:lncRNA from 1 species
ACAGAUCAAAACUCUGUUCUCAAAAAUAAAUAAAAAAUAAAAAACAAAACAACAACAACAACAAAAAAUCCAUGUGUGCAGAGUGGUUGACAUGUCACUAUGUGUUCCAGUAGCUCAGCUUGCUAAGUGCAGAACUUGAGACACAGUGUUUUAGUUCUGAAGGGGGGUAGGGAUGGGAGUAAUCCAAAUGUUGGGUAAUUCAGUAAUUGGACACACCUGACUUUUGAACACAUUAUGUGAUUGAGGUUAGUAUUAACAUCUUGCCACUGCCUAUUAACAUUUUGCAAGGGUAGAUAGUUUCCUUCAUCAGAUACAUAUCGAAAGCAGUUUAGUUGCUCAUACCAGAAGAGGGAAGUCAAGCUGGGUUUAACAAUGUGUUGUGAGUUGCUGGGGAGAUGACUAAGAGAAGAUUGACAGAUAGAUGGUUUGAGGGAGUUAGGAAAAGCACUGUUUGAAAUGUUCCCUGGGAGUUCAGAAGAGUGACGGGAGUGGCCCUGCCAGUGUGGUCAAGAUUUACUCCUCCUUGAAGAUGUGAAACCUCCUAGAAACAAGGAAAAUAAGCUGGGAGGCAGAAUGAUUUUUAUUUGGGGACAUCCUCCCCUAUAAAGGCAGGAACUGCUAAAGGGUUUGGGAAGAGGAAAUCCUCCUUCAGCUUGUAUCAGAAUUACCUGGCUUGUGGGUUAAACAUAUACACCCCCAGGCCCUACCGCUAUAUGACUGAAUCUGUUCCCCGCCGGAACUAGGCCCUGAAAUCUAUACGUGUGAUAGGUGUUUCCACGGCUGUUACAUCUAAAAAUCACCCCGCAACUCUGCGUCUGAGAAAGUCAAGAGAAGGCUCCUGGGGGGAGGGAAGUACUGGCAGAGGGCUCACAAGGGCAGGGGUAGCCAUGCAGCCUGUCCUUCCCAUUCAACUGUAAAAUGGAGAAAAUAACAGAGCCUGCUUCCUAGGGUGGUCAAGAGGGCCUAUGCCCAGCACUGCUACAACCCCUUCGUGAUCUCUCAGGCUUAUGACAUCACUGUCUCCGUACACAGAUGACCCACCCUCCUGCUUUGCUAAUAAGAUCCAGCCCAUCUUCAAGCUCCUCUGCCCAGAAAGGGAAACGUUAAAACAAAAACAGAAACAUCUAAGAAGGCACUUGCAAUUCCAGAGGCCAGAAGUCCCAAAUUAAGGUGUUGGCAGAGCCACGGUCUCUCUGAAGACUUUAGCAGGUGAUCCUUCCUUGCUUCUUCCUAGCUUCUAGUGGCUCAUGGCAGCCCUUGGUGUCACUUCAUUUAUACAUGCUUCAUUCCCAUUUCUGCCUCUGUCUUCACAUGGCAUUCUCUUCUGUGUGUCUGCAUCCAGAUUUCCCUUUUCUUAUAAGAACCCCAGUCAUUGCAUUAGGGUAUAUCCUAAUCCAGCAUGGCUUCAUUUUAACUUGAUAAUAUUUGCAAAUACCUUUUUUCUAAAUAAGGUACCCAGGGUUAGGACUUUAACAUAUCUUUUUUGGGGAUAGAAUUCAAUCCACAACAUUGACAGAGCAGAAAGAAAAAUGUGGCCAGUUCUAUUCCCCAUGCUGCCAAGUGACCAUAGGUGAACCCCCUGGAAUCCUGGAUACUCAAAAUGUGUUCUCCAGACCAGCACUGUAGUAUCAAACAUUACCUGAGCCUUAAUUCAAUAUACAGUAGUUCAAGCCCCAUUCCAGGUGUACUGAAUCAGAACCUGUAUGUUAACAAGAUCCCCAGGUGAUUUGUAUCCACAUCAAAGUGGGCUGAGCACUGCCUAAGAGCAGUGGUUCUCAAAG